GACGAACGCUGGCGGCGUGCUUAACACAUGCAAGUCGAACGGCAAGGCCCUGCUUUUGUGGGGUGCUCGAGUGGCGAACGGGUGAGUAACACGUGAGUAACCUGCCCUUGACUUUGGGGUAAGUUCAGGAAACUGGGGCUACUACCGGAUAGGAGAUCCUGCUGCAUGGUGGGCGUUGGAACGUUUGGGCGGGUGGGGAUGGACUCGCGGCUUAUCAGCUUGUUGGUGGGGUAGUGGCUUACCCAGGCAUUGACUGGUAGCCGGCCUGGGAGGGGGGCCGGCGACAUGGGGACUAAGAGACGGCCCAGACGGCAACGGGAGGCAGCGGUGGGGAAUAUUGCACAACGAGCGGGAGCGUGAGGAAACGGCGCCGCGUUCGGGAAGACGGCCUUCGGGGUGAGAACCGCUUUCGCCUAAUACGAAGCGGGAGUGACGGUAAUGGGUAAAGAAGCACCGGCUAACUACGUG
rnacentral:rRNA from 1 species